AUCGUAUGGCAUUCCUGUUUCUUCCAGGAAGGGUUCAGGAAGGGUCAGCCUUUCAUCCUGACCGUACUAGCCAUGACAACCGGCGAGCUGAACUUCAGGGACAACUUUGUCUUGCCUGACAACACCCCGUUCUCGAUUGACUUGUACAUAAUGUUCUCCUUGUUUUCUCUGGUUAUGCCACUGUGCUUAACGAAUCUGAUGAUCGGCGUUGCUGUGGGUGACAUUAACAAAGUGGAAAAAA